rnacentral:misc_RNA from 1 species
UCCGACAGGUGAAAGCCCGCG